GGUGGUAUAACUCAGUGGUAGAGCUCCAUGCUUAGCAUGCACAAGGUCCUGGGUUUAAUCCCCAGUACCUCCA
rnacentral:tRNA from 1 species